AGAUGGUGAAGAUGGUACAGAUGGUGUAUGAUGGUCGAAGUAUGUCACAUGGUUGUCAGAUGGUGUAUGAUGGUGUAUGAUGGUCGAAGUGUGUCAGAUGGUGUAUGAUGGUGUAUGAUGGUCGAAGUGUGUCAGAUGGUUGUCAGAUGGUGUAUGAUGGUGUAGGGUGGUUAUACAGGGAAGGGUUGUCAGAUGGUGAAGAUGGUACAGAUGGUGUAUGAUGGUCGAAAUGUGUCGGAUGGUUGUCAGAUGCUGUAUGAUGGUUGAAGUGUGUCAGAUGGUUGUCAGAUGGUACAGAUGGUGUAUGAUGUUCGCAGUGUGUCAGAUGGUUGUCAGAUGGUAUAUGAUGGUCGAAGUGUGUCAGAUGGUUGUCAGAUGGUGUAUGAUGGUCGAAGUGUGUCAGAUGGUUGUCUGAUGGUGUAUGAUGGUGUAGGGUGGUUAUACAGGGAAGGGUUGUCAGAUGGUGAAGAUGGUACAGAUGGUGAAGAUGGUACAGAUGGUGUAUGAUGGUCGAAGUAUGUCACAUGGUUGUCAGAUGGUGUAUGAUGGUGUAUGAUGGUCGAAGUGUGUCAGAUGGUGUAUGAUGGUGUAUGAUGGUCGAAGUGUGUCAGAUGGUUGUCAGAUGGUGUAUGAUGGUGUAGGGUGGUUAUACAGGGAAGGGUUGUCAGAUGGCGAAGAUGGUACAGAUGGUGUAUGAUGGUCGAAAUGUGUCAGAUGGUUGUCAGAUGGUGUAUGAUGGUUGAAGUGUGUCAGAUGGUUGUCAGAUGGUACAGAU